GAGAGUGGAGAGAGGGAGGAGAGCGGAGAGCAGGAGGAGAGUGGAGAGAGGGAGGAGAGUGGAGAGAAAAGGAACGAGGCAGUCGGCUGAUUCACCACCACUCCAUCCAUCCAUCCCUCCUUUCUCUUUCUCCUCCUCUGCUUCAGUGAUGGGGUGGUGGAGGUGUGUGGGAAAGGACCCCCCCACACACACAGACUGCUGCUCCUCAUCCCUUCCACCUGCCUCCAUCCCUCCUCUUUCUCCCAUUGUCAUCACUACCUACACCUCUGUCCAACCAUCUUUCCCUCUUUCUUUCUCUCCAGCCCCCACACCCUUCUAACCCACAUGCUCUGUGUCACCACCAUGGUGAAGAAAAUGAUCGGCCAACAAGCUGGAAGAGGUAGAGGAGAGGAACAAGAGAGGAGAAAGAGAUGAAGAGUGAGCUCUGUCCAUUCAAGACACUCCAGACUCCCGUUUCCUCGAUGGAUUAUCCAGAGCCCCACGGACAGAGGGAGGAGCGGAGGAGAAAAUAAAAAGACGAAGAGAGAAGAGAGAAGAAACUAAUUGCACUCCGGACAGCCAGUUCGCCUGACGGCCCUGCAGGCUGUGUUUGGGACUCUGGCUAAUUGUGGAGUAUUCUCAGGACUCCAGCAGAGGAACGAGAGAGACUCUCUCUCUCUUCCUUUUCAUUUUAAUUAAUUCCCCUCCGUGCAGACACUCAAAGGGACUUUCUCUCCUUCCUUCCCUCUCUCCCUCCUUCUCUCUCUCCCUCCUUCUCUCUCUCCGGCAACUUUUGAGAGCAGCAUAAUUGGGAGUGGAAGUUGGCUUUUCUGUGCCUGAGCCAGAGGAGUGAGAUCUCCCAAUCCUUCACACACCGGGUUGUGUGUGAGUGUGUGCUCAGGUGCGUGUGGAUGAGUGUGUGUGGAAUCUCUGACUUAUCCCUAGGGGCUUUGGGAGGGGGUGUACCACACUAGAUGAUUCCGGUGUGAACUGGACGUGCAUGACAGAAAAAUGAGAGAAUGAAAGAGGGAGUGAGAGAAAAGGUAGUACAGUAGAGCACUAAUCCGGUACAUAUAAGUAUUUCCCUGAGGAGGGGUGUGAGGGAAGAAAAUACGCCCAACCAGUGAUGUGGAUGGACAGAGUGAGCAAAUAAACGACAAGACAGAGAAGAGGAGAGAAGAGGAGAGACGAGGAGAGAUGAGGAGAAAAGACAUCGGUCCCUUCACAACAUCAGCGAGUCACCCAGACUGAGAAGAAUGCACAAGAUAGGAGUGAACGGAUGAACAAACACACUCUCAUACAGUCAGCCCCCCCCAACCUCUUUGCUUUUUGGUCUGUCUCUCUCUUAGGGCAAAGUGCCAACUACACACACACACACACACUCAUACACAGACACAAAAGAACAGAAUGAAAGAAACCUGGCUUCGUCUGGGACCCUUUUUUUUCAGGAUUCUUUUUUUUUAGCACCCAUUUAUUUUUUCCCCUCUCUGCCCUCUUCACUCUCCUCCUCUCCAUCUCUCCAUCUCUCCUCUACUCCAUCUCUCCAUAUAGGCUCUAAGAACACCAUAUCUCUUCUACACAGACGCUUCCUGAUUCUUACAUUGAUUGGUCUUUCAGUUGAUCCCUUAUCCAUCUCUCUCUCUCUCUCUCUCUCUCUCUCCUUCCCGCUUUCUGUCUCUAUCACUCUCUCACACUCCUUUGCCUUCCCACCCCCCCUCCUCACACCUCCCUUCUUCUUCUCUCUUCGCCUGCUGCUCCCUCACUUGCCCGGUGUCAUUGUCUUCACACACAUAGCCGGAGUGUGUUAGUGUGAGUGUGUGUACGGGGGAACCAACCCAUUCUGCAGUGGAGCCGCGGAGCACAGGGGGAGCCUGAGUUAUUACAUGUGUCUUAGUCAGACCAUGCCCCAGUUCACCUUCGCCUGUUUUUGCAGUCUGCACGGCUUCUGCCGGAGACGGAGGAAGAAGAAAAAGCAGAAAAGGGAGGAACAGGAUGAGAUGGAGGAGAAACGGAGGGAUCAGGAGACUGAGGUGUGAAGGAAGCCUGGAGGGACUUCACCCUCCUCUUCAUUCUCUCAGAGACUCUGGUGUGGUCACGGCUGUGAUGGCAUUCUAAUUUCUAGGGCAUUCUUCAUUCUAAGUCCAGAUCCUUUUCUAGUCUUCACGCUGUGGUGCUCUCUCCUCCACCUGCAGCAGCUGUCCAAUCAGCAGAUUCACUGGAGUGUGUAGGUAGAGGUCAAAGCUCAAAACUAGCGUUCUUUACAAUCUCCUACACCAAGGACACACACAAACACACACACACACACAUUAAUUAAUUAAAGCCCUGUGUGGGUCUGUAAAUGCCAGUGGGGCGUAGGGACGCCUGUCACCUGUUUAUGAUGAAAGUAGUGAAUGUGAUUGUGUGUGCACUGAGACUUCAUUGCAGCUGGACCACAGAGAGUUGCAGGACUGCACCUACCAGUUAAGAUAAGCAUAUGCUGCAGAAUGAAUGCCCUUUACACACACACAUGCGCGCACGCACGCAAACACACACACGCAGGUCUCAUUAGCUUGUGUAAUUAUGCAUGGCACGUCCAGUUGGCCAGUGGAGAUGUAAUUAACCUUUUCCAGCAGGAAACAGCAAUCUGGACGUCUGACACACACACACACACACACACACACACACACACACACACACACACACACACACACACACACGUCUGGUGUCACGGAAAUAAAGCGUCAAAAGACAGCGGCUGGCAUUCAAUGAUAAUCCCCUCACGCAUAUUUCCAUCCAAGGCUUAAAACACUAAUAAUGCCAGAUUACCUCUCCUCUCCUUUUAUCUUCCCUCCUUUCUCUCUCAACCUCUUCUUGUCCUUCUCUGUCUUUCUUUCUCCUUCACUCUUCCUGUCUGUAUGUCUGUCUGUGUCUGGCUACCAAGCCUCUUUCUCGCUCACAUUCUCCCCGUCUCCCUCUCCUUUCUCCCCUCUCUCAAUCUGUUUGCCCACAUCCCUCUUUCUUGCUCUUUAUCUCUCAGUGAAACAUGUUCUCUGGGCAGUGAGCAUGGCCUAGUGUUUUAAGCCUUGGAUGGAAAUAUGCGAUAGAUUAACACCAGCACUCUGACUCUCGCUCAGGGAGCCCUCUCGCCAAGACCACAAAAGCUGCUUUACAACAGUUGAAGGGGUAGGAUGCCUGUGUGUAUGUGUGUGUGUGUGUGUGUGUGUGUGUGUGUGUGUGUGUUUGUUUAUAAGAAUAGAUUAAGCGAUAGGGUUGAUUGUGUAUUUACCCAUUCUACCAUUGAGAAAAGUGAAAUGGGAUAACGCUAAGCCAUUUCACAGAGAUGAGCAGAUAUUAUGAGUCACCAUGUUACAGAAAGGCUUUUCAACGAGAAAGAGAGGGAGAGAGAAAAAGAGAGGGAGAGGGGGAGAGAGAGAACAGUUAAUGAGAGAGGGAUGGAAAUGGAAGAGGGAGCUAAUAUUUGGCCGUCAUGCUAAUUGGCUACAGUUGCUAACUCUCUGAGGCAAGAGGAGGAGGUUUAGAAAAGCACAGCCUGAUCCCGGCAUUACACUCGUUUAAUGCUCCCUCCAUCACGUUAAAGAAAGGAUUCGCUUGAAUAAUGAAGAGGAGCUGAAAUUAAUAACAUGUUGUUAUUAUCUGUGGGAGGGUUGUUUUUCACCUGAAUGACUAUGUGUAGUCUUCUAUGGAUCAUAUCCAUGCUCACCGAGCCUUACUCAAGGACAAACAGCUAAAAAUAGAGGGGAGUACGCGACUCCUAUAAUAGCAGGAGCGAAUGAAGGAAGGGAGAGGGAGAGAGAAAGAGUGCUGUCAGAUUAGAUUCGGGUCAGAAAAGAUGGGAAGACCAAGUGAGGCAGAGGGUGUUUCAUACAGAGGAGAUUCAUCUCUCUCUCUCUCUCUCUCUCUCUCUCUCUCUCUCUCUCUCUCUCUCUCUCUCUCUCUCUCUCUCUCUCUCUCUCUCUCUCUCUCCCUCUCUCUCUGUCUCUCUCUCUCUCUCUCUCUUCUCAAUACAUCACUAUCGUACACCUGCAAGGUGGGGGAGGGAAGGGGAGAGAAAGAGAGACAAAUAAACUGAAAUAUAGCGGGGUAAGGAGAAAGAAGAAAACCUAAAUUUCUCUCCUCAUCACCCGCUCCUCUCUCCUCCUCUCCUCAUCACCUGCUCCUCUCUCCUCCUCUCCUCAUCACCCUCU